rnacentral:pre_miRNA from 1 species
AGUGGGAUAGCUGGGUCAAGUGGUGGUUCCAUUCCAAGUUUUCUGAGGAAUCUCCAUAACUCUUUCCAUAACAUUUGCACCGAUUUGCAUUCCCACCAGCAAU